UUUUGAUUUCAACUAGUGUGGUUUCUGCUGCUGCAGAUAGUUAUAUUUACUCUUCUCCUCCACCACCUUACGAGUAUAAGUCGCCACCGCCACCAUCACCUUCACCACCACCUCCUUAUGUUUACAAAUCGCCACCUCCUCCAUCCCCAUCACCUCCACCACCUUAUGAGCACAAGGCUCCUGCUUAUGAGUACAAGUCACCACCACCACCAACUCCUUCACCACCACCUCCUUAUGUGUACAAGUCACCACCACCGCCAUCUCCUUCACCACCACCUCCUUAUGUGUACAAGUCACCACCACCACCCUCACCUUCCCCACCACCACCAUACUACUACAAGAGUCCUCCACCACCUUCUCCUUCACCUCCACCUCCUUACUACUACAAAUCUCCUCCACCACCCUCACCUUCCCCACCACCACCAUACUAUUACAAGUCUCCUCCACCACCAUCUCCCUCACCUCCACCACCAUAUUACUACAAGUCUCCCCCACCACCCUCACCCUCCCCUCCACCCCCAUAUAUACACAAGGAUCCACCAUACUAUUACAAGUCCCCACCACCACCUUCACCAUCUCCUCCACCACCAUACUACUACAAAUCUCCCCCACCCCCUUCACCGUCUCCUCCACCACCAUACUACUACAAAUCUCCUCCUCCUCCAUCUCCUAUUCCCAAAACACCUUACUACUACAAAUCUCCCCCACCCCCUUCACCAUCUCCUCCACCACCAUACUACUACAAAUCUCCCCCACCCCCUUCACCGUCUCCUCCACCACCAUACUACUAUAAAUCUCCCCCACCACCGUCACCCUCUCCACCACCACCUUACUAUUACAAGUCUCCUCCCCCACCUUCACCAUCUCCUCCACCACCAUACUACUACAAAUCUCCUCCUCCUCCAUCUCCUAUUCCCCAUACACCUUACUAUUACAAAUCUCCCCCACCACCUUCACCAUCUCCUCCACCACCAUACUACUACAAAUCUCCUCCUCCUCCAUCUCCUAUUCCCCGUACACCUUACUAUUACAAAUCUCCCCCACCACCUUCACCAUCUCCUCCACCACCAUACUACUACAAAUCCCCUCCUCAUCCAUCUCCCAUUCCCCAUACACCUUACUAUUACACAUCUCCCCCACCACCUUCACCGUCUCCUCCACCACCAUAUUACUACAAAUCUCCUCCCCCUCCGUCUCCUAUUCCCCACACACCUUACUACUACAAGUCCCCACCACCACCAAAGGUCCUUCCACCACCAUACUAUUACAAUUCUCCUCCUCCACCUGUUGUGUAUCCUCACCCAUAUCCCUACCACCACUCACUUAUUGUGAGGGUAGUCGGUAAAGUCUACAGCUUCAGAUGUUAUGAUUGGAAUUAUCCUGCAAAGUCUCAUAACAAGAAACAUCUCAAAGGUACAUUACAUUUCUUAGGACCGGACCUCUUUAGAGUAAUGUGUUUAGAGAUAAUGCACAAUUUUUUAUUUUUUUAUCUCGUAAAGGUUUAUUUAUUAUAAUCACAAUUUCACUUUUGUCAAAAAGAAAAACAAUUUUACUAUAUAUAGUUUUAAUCAUUAACAUUUUGAUGUAAAAAGAAUACAAUUCUCUAUUACCUUUUUACUAUGAUAUAUAUACAAAGAUUAUUCAAAUCUAUAUAUCCAACCUAAUUUCCAUCCAAAAAAAUAGAAAACAUAGGGUGCUUUGAACGCCUGCAGCAUCACAUGAAUAAAUAAAAACAAUCAAUAAUCAACCUUGUUCUAAUUUAUUUUAGACAGCGAUUGUUAAGCAUACUGCUCUUUUAAUUACAUUUUUUUUAAAGAUGCUCUUUUAAUUAUAUUGUCCUAAUAUAAUAUGUGUCUUUAUAUAUUACUUGUCGUAAACUAAUUUUAUUAUGGGUGCAGGAGCUGUUGUUGAGGUGACAUGCAAAGCCGGGAGCAAAAUUGUCAAGGCUUAUGGAAAAACUAAGAACAAUGGAAAGUAUGCCAUCACAGUUAAGGACUUUGACUAUGUCAAAUAUGGUUCGACAGUGUGCAAGGCUGCCCUAUAUGCUCCACCUAAGGGUUCACCCUUCAACAUACCUACAAAGCUAAAUCAAGGAACAAAGUUGUACUUGAAAUCCAAAGACAAGUACGAGGUUGUGCUCAAGGCUAAGCCAUUUGCUUAUGCUUCAAAGAAACAUUUCAAAGAAUGUGAGAAGCCUAAGCCUUCACCAACUCCUUACUACUACAAAUCACCUCCACCUCCCUCACCAGUUUACAAAUACAACUCACCACCUCCACCGGUCCAUUAUUAUUCACCUCCAUACACCUACAAGUCACCUCCUCCCCCUGUGAAAGCGGCACCAACUCCUUACUACUACAAAUCACCUCCACCACCCGCACCGGUUUACAAGUACAACUCACCCCCUCCACCGGUCCAUUAUUAUUCACCACCAUAUACCUAUAAGUCACCUCCUCCCCCUGUGAAAGCGGCACCAACUCCUUACUACUACAAAUCACCUCCACCUCCCGCACCGGUUUACAAGUACAACUCCCCACCUCCACCGGUCCAUUAUUAUUCACCUCCAUAUACCUACAAGUCACCUCCUCCCCCUGUGAAAGUGGCACCAACUCCUUACUACUACAAAUCACCUCCACCACCCGCACCGGUUUACAAGUACAACUCACCACCUCCACCGGUCCAUUAUUAUUCUCCACCAUACUACUACAAGUCACCACCCCCACCAUCUCCAUCACCUCCUCCACCAUACUAUUUCAAAUACUAUUACAAGUCCCCACCUCCACCAUCACCAUCCCCUCCUCCACCUUAUUAUUACAAAUCUCCUCCUCCACCAAAACAAAUUUCACACCCUCCAUACUACUAUAAGUCACCACCCCCACCAUCACCAUCACCUCCUCCACCAUACUAUUAUAAGUCUCCACCUCCACCAUCACCAUCUCCCCCACCACCUUAUUAUUAUAAGUCACCACCCCCACCAUCCCCGUCCCCUCCUCCACCAUACUACUACAAGUCUCCACCUCCACCUAAAGAAAUAUCACAUCCUCCAUAUAACUAUAAGUCACCACCCCCACCAUCACCAUCCCCUCCCCCUCCAUACUAUUACAAAUCUCCUCCACCACCAUCACCAUCACCACCACCUCCCUACUAUUACAAAUCACCUCCACCACCAUCACCAUCACCUCCCCCUCCAUACUAUUACAAAUCUCCUCCACCACCAUCACCAUCACCACCACCUCCUUACUAUUACAAAUCACCUCCACCACCAUCCCCAUCACCACCACCUCCAUACUACUACAAAAGUCCCCCUCCACCAUCUCCAUCUCCUCCAUCCCCAUAUUACUACAAAUCUCCACCACCACCAUCACCAUCCCCACCCCCUCCCUACUAUUACAAAUCACCUCCACCUCCCUCACCAUCACCGCCACCUCCUUACUAUUACAAAUCACCUCCACCUCCCUCACCAUCACCGCCACCUCCUUACUAUUACAAAUCUCCCCCACCUCCAUCUCCAUCUCCACCACCUCCUUACCACUAUCAAAGUCCUCCUCCACCAUCUCCCAUUUCUCAUCCUCCCUACUACUACAAAUCCCCUCCACCACCAUCGCCGUCUCCUCCACCUCCUUACCACUAUGUGAGUCCUCCCCCACCAGUAAAGUCACCUCCACCACCAACUUAUAUCUAUGCUUCACCACCACCACCUCACUACAACUAAGCUCAAAGAGCAGAAGCUCCGUUCAUUAUAAAUCAUGUAAGUUUAUCAUCUUCAAUUUUCUGAAUGUGUGCGUGUGUAUUUGUUUUUUUGUUACAAGAUACUAACAAAAUUCUUUUCUUAUUUAUGUUCAGGUUUUAGUUUUCAUCUAGGAAUAAAGGCAAGCUCCAUUUGGAGUAAAGUGAAACUUCUAGCUUCGUGUCCGAAUUCGUUAAAUAAAUGUCGGGAUGUAUCGUCUUUGAGCUAUAAUAUUUCUGAUCCAGACAAUAUCUAUUUUGUUUCUUUGGUGGCAAUCUUGCACUUCCUGGUCUUAGUCUAUUCAAGUGACAGACAAAUCAAAAGGGAGAAGCGAGAUUAAUUUAUUUGUGAUCUCUUUGAUUUAUUUGUGCAUAUAUCAAUAUGAACGUGUAUGAUAUUUUUCUAUUUAUUGAAGAUUUUUUUACUGUAACCUGUUAUUGUGUUUGUCAAAAGGUGUUAAUAAAGAAUCACAUUCAAUUUCUGUUAAAUUAUCAGUAUUUGUUUCUUUCUAACAACUACCAUUCAUGCAAAUGUGGCUAUUAAAAAAAGCUCCAAUGACACAUAAAAAGCUUCCAAACAAUAUAUAAACAAAGAUGCAUUGUUUUCUGUUAAGAAGGGGACAGGGUUACGGUUACUUGUGUACCAAGUUAGUUAUCCAUGCUUUCUUGUUCAUAGGAUUUAUAUGGUGUAGUUGCACUUAGUUGCUAAAUGUAUGCAAGCUUUUCCUUUCUAUAAAUAAGCACACCUACUAUCAUUCUUCUCCACAUUCCUUUCUACUCUUCUAUCAUGAAUUGUUCAUCCACAUAAGAUGGUCACAGAGCACACCUAAUACUCUGCUACUGGUGUAUCAGUUCCUUUCCACCAGAAACUUAUGAUCUCUAAUUGAAAGAGAUCCUAAAGUUUUAAGAUUUCUACAAAAUACAUUAUUCUCAUUUUUGUACAAGUAUGAUACAAUUAUUCCCAAGUAUUAUUUAUUCUAAGGAAUAGAAUUUAGUUGUGGUUUCUCUAUUUAACCAACAUUUAUUUUUAAAUAACUAAAUUUAAAAAAAAAAUCCUGAAAUUAUUAAGUACAUACCUAACACAUUGUAAAAUUUUGUUCCCAAAGAAAAUAUUUUUGGCAAUAGAAUUUUCAGGAACUUCAUUCCUAGGAAUAUAAUUCUAUACUAAGAGAAGAGCUUAAGCAUUGAUACAUAACAAGACCAAUCCAUAUCCUAAUCACAAUCCUACUUUCACUAAAUACUUUCACUUAAGUGUGGUCUUGGAAAGGACAAAUGAAGAAAGACAUUCCAGAGGUAUGGUAAGGGACAAUAUCUGCAGUUAUGCACAUAUUGCAAGAUUGUGAGGAACUACCGGACUGAUUUGAUUCACCAAAAAAUUUGGAAUAAAUAUUUCAGCCCAGAACUCAGACAAUGACUGGAUUGGAACCUUUCAGCUUCUAAUAUCGGUACUGUCCAAGGAAAUAGUCAUUCUCUUUUUGGAGUAGCUGUGAAGGAUUUAUGGAAAGAUAGAACUAAGCUGGUCUUUUCUAGAAACACCGCGAUUGGAACUACUCUAUUUUGGCUUGUAGCCAAUCCGGCUAAGUUUAUUAACAAUGUAGUUUGUACUCAAGCUCACAGUCACGAUGUUGUCAGCAACAGUGGGCAUAUUGUUUAGGUAGCCUGGAAUUUUCCUCCCCAACACUUCUUCAAAGUGAAUAUGAUGGAUCUCUACGGGAUUAUGUUAGUUUCCAGGAUCGAACUCAGAACCUCCUGAUUAUAACUCCUUCAAUGUAUGUCCCUUACCCACGUGGGGCCUCGGCUGUAAUUGUUAACAUGGUAAAAUUUGGCUCUUCCAAUAAUGGUUUUAUCCAAACUCGAGGUUGUUUAUCGUCUCCAACAAUCAGAUUGGAGAAUACUAGUGGUUCAUGCAUUUGAACAAACCAACUGUUGUGCAGAUUUUCUAGUUGAUUUUGUUUUUCCUUUUUUGAGUAUUUUAUUAGCCAAUGAUAUAAGAGGUUGUAGCCUACCUCUUUUGAUUUCUUAAGACAAUCACUUUUGCAUUAGAAAAAAACGACCCUACAUAAAAUUAAUGAUUGAAUUAAGAUAUAACUUCAGUUUGAAAUAUUGUAAAAUUCUAUACCACCAAAAACUGAGAAUUUUAGAACCAUACAGGUUGGUGGAGUGGUCAUCCAGAUAACUUUAACAUAAUUAACAGUCCAAAAAGUAAAUAGCUUUAUCCUUUAUUUUCAAUCUGAUGUGAUUUACUCUUAUCUGUUAAACAUUAUAAUUAAGAAUCCAAAGGGAACACUCACCUAAUCUCUCUCUUUUUUCUAGCUUUUUCACUAAACCACUGUGUCUGUGGUUACCACAUUUCCUUAUGGAAUCAAUAUCCAAUUUAUGUUAAAAACCAUUUCUACAUUUUGUGUUAAAAAUGAUCUAAACAAAGAUGAUUUAUUUCUCUUAAAUUCAACAUAGAUCAUAUUUACAUGGUUCAAACUUUCUAUUACACGGCAUUGACUUAGUUGCUUCACAUGGGGACACAACUAAUGCAUAUAUUAUUUUAUAUGCUUAUAGUAAUUUUAACAAGUGGCAAUGGGGCAUAUGUUUUGUCAAAAAAACACAAAAAACAGGAGGCAUGUGCAACUGAAGUCACUGCCAGCUUGGCACUAAGAUAUAGUAAAAUAAUUGACAUUUGAAGAAAACAAAGACGUUGCUACAUUUCUAUUCAAACAAGCGACAUCAAUAUCAGACAAUGGUGCUACAUUUAAUAAUACUACAGCUAUCCCCAUAAGCACCUCUUAGAAAGAAAAAAAAAUAUCCAUUAAAUUAAUGUUGGAAGAGUUAGCAACAUGUCCUCUCCCAAAAAAACUCAUGUUUGAUUCCUAGAGUCGUCCAUUUCGAAAGAAGCUCAACCCUGAUAAUAAAAACCUAGAUGUUAUGCUGCAGACUUAAAGAUCAAUUUCAUAAUGGAUCCAAAGGGCCUAAGCUGUGUGGGAUACUUAAGGGGGUAUAUUGAGGCUAAGGGUCAAAGAUCUUAAUUAUGGUCGGUUAAAAAAAGAAGAAAAAAAAAUUAUCUCUAAAUAUAAAGUCAACAAUAUUUCAAAUUGCAAGAUACAUUUAUUUAUUUUUUAAAUAUGUAUAUACCUCUUAUUAAUACUUACUAAUUUGUUUUGAGUGAUAAAAAGUUACGAGUUAGACAGAUCAGCACAUAAAAAAAGUAUUUGAAAAACAUCUACCAACAAAAUAAACACAUUAAAAACAAUACUACUUUUUUACAAUACUGUAUGUGAAAAUGACAAAAUCUUGAAAAAGAUGGAGGUAACAUGUACUCUUUUUUUUUUAGAGGGGAGCAUGUACUUUUCCACUAACAAUGUUGAUAAGAAACAUAUAAAAUACUAUUAGAGAAAGAAAAAAAAUAAUAAAUAAAGAAAUAUAUAAAAUACUGAGGAAUGACUCACUCAUGUCAAAUUUUAGCAAGGGAGAAGUGAUAUCACAUCAUUUUAGAAGAGGAAUGAGAAUAGAUAGAUCUAAUUUUUCUAGUAAGUUUGAAUAGUAGAAUCAUACUUCUUUGUCUUUUGUGAAAAUUUCAUAUUAUGGGAUCUAUUACUAGAAUACAGGUGAUUUUAUUCUGGAAGAUUGACUUUUUAUUAAAAUAAAAUAAAAGUACAUUUUUUAUUUCCAAAUGCUUAGUUGUUCAUUUAUAAAUAUUACAUUAUCCAACAGCACCAAACCCUAUUUCAUAACGGUACUCUGCACGUUUCAUUCAUUUACUGGUGCCUUAGUUUUUUGUUACAAACAGACAUUGAUCAGAGGAACAAAUGUAGAGACAAAUUGAAGAUAAUAUAUCACAUAAUAUUGUAGACACACCUUCACAUACAAAUGGGGUAAAGUCCCUCAUAGUAGUAUUAGAAAUAACACUUAGAGUAAAAUUUUGCUAAAUUUAACAUGAAAAUAAGUGUAAUGUAUUUUAUAGGCAGCUAUACAUAAUUAUUAAUUAGAACAAUUUUUUACACUGUCAAACAAAAAUUGAACAAUUUUUUACUAGCUUUAUGCUUUAUGAUGUUUUGAUUCCAUGUGCACAUUUCAAUUUUAGAACUAUUCCUUUCUAUGUUACUGAAAUAAUUCUAUCAUUAGGCAUUGACAUUUCCAUUAUGCGUGCACGUUAAAGUGUUUUCCCAAACAGAGAAAUAUUAAGAAAGGUUAAACUUUUGACUUAAAGACACAACUAAAAUAAGAUCCAAGGAAAACCCCAUUGAUUAUUUCUUGCACAAAAUUAAAAACCCCAUUGAUUAUUUCUUGCACAAAAUUAAAAUGCUAAUAAUUUUUCCUGGUCUAUAUUUUUCUCCUUCCGGGAAAUGGCAACAUCACAUGUUCAUCUCAUAAUUGAGAAAACACAUGUCUGGGAAAAUAUCUUAAAGAAAAGGCAGUAAAGUAAUAAAAAGUGCACCAAAUAGAGAUUAACUAGUACUCUUUGCAUGUCAACUAAGUGGUAUAAUUAUGUAUAUCACAUUCUUAAUAUUGAUUAUCUUGAUUGCACGAUAAGCCCCUCAAAUUGCUCAAUCGAUGAUUGCUUGAUAAGCCCAUCAAAUUGCCCAAUCGAUCGAAUCGUAACUUUCGAUAGACAUUUUUUUUAAGAAAACCCAAUUGGAUCAUAACUCCCCAUAGUCAUUUAUUUGAAAUUGUGAGCAAUUUGAUAACUUAUUGAGCAAUCACCAUUGAUUUUAGUCUCAAUUUAUCCUAAUGUUGUAACCCUGGAAUAAUGGAACAGUGAGUAAAUUUGGUUUCUCCGUCUCAAAAUAAGUGUCACAAUUUAACCAUGUGCACUACUCAUCAAAUCUACUUUGACAACAUUUUUUUUACUAAUAUAUAAAGACAAUGUUAGUACAUUACAUGUUCGAUUUGUCUUAGUUAAUGUUUUUAAAAUAUCGACUUUAUUAUAAUUUUUCUUAAUAGACAAUCAAAAAUAUCAAUUGUCAAAAUUGUGUAUUGAUAUGUAUGAAAAUCAAACUAUAACACUUACUUUGAGACGAAGAGAAUAACUAUUAAAAACUAAUGUUCAAAUAGAAAGAAAAGAAAACAAAGAUUCCAUACAAAGCUUGCAAAAUAGCUACAAUCAUAACCUAGAACAAAAAUCAUGACCACACACUAUAUCCAUUUUCCUUUUCCUAAAAAGCAAUUGAAGAUAAAAAAAAAAAAAAUAAUAAAUAAAAAAAAAAAAAAAAAAAAAAAAAANACCACCAUACUACUACAAAUCCCCACCUCCACCAUCGCCUUCUCCUCCACCACCAUACUACUACAAAUCCCCACCUCCACCAUCGCCUUCUCCUCCACCACCAUACUACUACAAAUCCCCACCUCCACCAUCGCCUUCUCCUCCACCACCAUACUACUACAAAUCCCCACCUCCACCAUCGCCUUCUCCUCCACCACCAUACUACUACAAAUCCCCACCUCCACCAUCGCCUUCUCCUCCACCACCAUACUACUACAAAUCCCCACCUCCACCAUCGCCUUCUCCUCCACCACCAUACUACUACAAAUCCCCACCUCCACCAUCGCCUUCUCCUCCACCACCAUACUACUACAAAUCCCCACCUCCACCAUCGCCUUCUCCUCCACCACCAUACUACUACAAAUCCCCACCUCCACCAUCGCCUUCUCCUCCACCACCAUACUACUACAAAUCCCCACCUCCACCAUCGCCUUCUCCUCCACCACCAUACUACUACAAAUCCCCACCUCCACCAUCGCCUUCUCCUCCACCACCAUACUACUACAAAUCCCCACCUCCACCAUCGCCUUCUCCUCCACCACCAUACUACUACAAAUCCCCACCUCCACCAUCGCCUUCUCCUCCACCACCAUACUACUACAAAUCCCCACCUCCACCAUCGCCUUCUCCUCCACCACCAUACUACUACAAAUCCCCACCUCCACCAUCGCCUUCUCCUCCACCACCAUACUACUACAAAUCCCCACCUCCACCAUCGCCUUCUCCUCCACCACCAUACUACUACAAAUCCCCACCUCCACCAUCGCCUUCUCCUCCACCACCAUACUACUACAAAUCCCCACCUCCACCAUCGCCUUCUCCUCCACCACCAUACUACUACAAAUCCCCACCUCCACCAUCGCCUUCUCCUCCACCACCAUACUACUACAAAUCCCCACCUCCACCAUCGCCUUCUCCUCCACCACCAUACUACUACAAAUCCCCACCUCCACCAUCGCCUUCUCCUCCACCACCAUACUACUACAAAUCCCCACCUCCACCAUCGCCUUCUCCUCCACCACCAUACUACUACAAAUCCCCACCUCCACCAUCGCCUUCUCCUCCACCACCAUACUACUACAAAUCCCCACCUCCACCAUCGCCUUCUCCUCCACCACCAUACUACUACAAAUCCCCACCUCCACCAUCGCCUUCUCCUCCACCACCAUACUACUACAAAUCCCCACCUCCACCAUCGCCUUCUCCUCCACCACCAUACUACUACAAAUCCCCACCUCCACCAUCGCCUUCUCCUCCACCACCAUACUACUACAAAUCCCCACCUCCACCAUCGCCUUCUCCUCCACCACCAUACUACUACAAAUCCCCACCUCCACCAUCGCCUUCUCCUCCCCCACCUUACUAUUACAAAUCCCCACCGCCACCUUCACCAUCUCCCCCACCACCCUACUACUAUAAAUCACCCCCACCACCUUCACCAUCUCCUCCACCACCAUACUACUACAAAUCACCCCCACCGCCAUAUGAACACAAGACUAAACCAUACUAUUACAAGUCUCCUCCACCACCAUAUGAACACAAGACUAAACCAUACUAUUACAAGUCCCCACCACCACCUUCACCAUCUCCUCCACCACCAUACUAUUACAAGUCCCCACCACCACCUUCACCGUCUCCACCCCCACCAUACUACUACAAAUCACCUCCUCCUCCAUCACCUAUUCCCCAUACACCUUACUACUACAAGUCCCCACCACCACCUAAGGUUCUUCCACCACCAUACUAUUACAACUCUCCUCCUCCACCUGUUGUGUAUCAUCACCCUCAUCCCUACCACCAUGCAUUGAUCGUGAAGGUAGUGG
rnacentral:lncRNA from 1 species